AGAAUCAUCAAAGAAAGGAUCCACUGCUGGUCUCAUUGGCCUUGAUCUUCCAUUCACAAGCAAUUAAUGUUUAUGGGAGCACGAAUUCAAAGUAGCACAUUUUCGCGGCUGUGAAAUGCAGCAACAUGUUUGGAUAGCUGACCAAAAAGGAUCUCACUGAAAAACUGAAAUAUUUAAGUAACACGUCAACGACGGCUGCGUCCUGCGUGUUGGCAAGGCGGCGGCGACGGAUGGUGUGCAGGAUGCGGCCUUUUUUGUGUAUAGCUCUCUAAACUUGACAGUUGAGUUUCUUUUUGGUCAUGUUAAAACUGAGUUUCUGUUAGUUCAGUUUGCACAAGCGGCCAUAGUGCGGACCAUCAGGAGACAGGGGCACACAAGCACCAGCACGGCAGCACCACCAUCAGAACACACCAGACGGCUCGCAUAGGGAAUACUUCAAGAUGGACACUGGUGGUACAACAUGGCUUACUAUCAUCUGUUUACACAUGGCUAAUUUGACGGAAUAGCUUUGGCCAUCUUUGAUAUAUGUUACUCCUACUACAGAUUUCGCUCCCUCUUCUCCAAGAAAUUCCCUACUAGCUACACUUGACAUGAGAGUCCAAUUUGAAUUCCCAUAAAUGAGAGGAAAGCUAUGAUUCGUUCGCUCCACUUUUAGCUUUGUAUCUCCCCCUGAAGACAUCCUCCCUGAACUACUUGAUUUCAGCCAUCAGGUCCAGGCUUCUACUGAAUGGUGUCCUCUGUCUCCAGCGCCCAUUUCCGCUUAGCGAGUUGUUGGAUUGCAUCCUACUUCUUAUUUUCCUCCUGCACACCGUCUCCCUUUGUGUCGUCAAUCACGUACUAUAACAUUUGACAAAUAGUAUGUGUUGUGUUGGUGUCAGCAUGCCAGCACUACAUGAAUGAUCCCACUGCUGCAGACUUCAGCCAAUACUGGAAUGAAUGAAACAAUGUCUUCUCAUCAAGGAAAAGACUUGUGUUCUCCUUAUAGAACAUAAUUUAUUAUGUGAGGGAUUUGCCAUUACAACAUCUUGUCCAGGGCCAUGCUUGGCAUCGCCUCGUCCUGGUCUUCGGCGCUCCUACAGGAACUGGGCGCCAGUGUGGUCGAGCCAAGUACAACACCAACAAGCGACAACAGCGCACCACUCUGAUCCAUGCGGGAAACAUGCAGUGUACAGAGAAAUCAGCGCUUUCACAGGCUGAUAGGAGAAAAUUUUGGGUGGGGCCUGCAUGUUUCGAGAGAAUUGUCGUGUCAUAGUGCUAACUAGGAAAAUGUUGAGGAGGUCCUGUUGCGUCCCAUGUUCAAUAUAAGGGGGUGUUAAAAGGGACUCGAAGCAUUUUCAUGUGUCGAUGGCACGAGAGAUCCUCCCGAUACUCUCCUCAAGGUUGACCCAACUAGAUCCUGAUGCGCCAGCGGCACGGGUGGUCAGGCCUGAGCAGCGAGCUCUUCUGCCCCCUCCUCAUUGGAUCGGCGGCCAGGGAGGCCAGAUCGUGUGGCACGAGAGAAGGCUCAUGUGUGAGGAAGGGGAGCAGCAACAUGCGUCGAUUGGGGAAGGGAGGAGCAACGGGUGCCACUGAAGGGAGGGGAGCAGCGCCAAGCGCGGAGGGAGGGGAGCACGGGAGCCCCAAGGGAGGCGGAGCAGCGGCAGGUGGCGUGGAGGUUGGAGAUCUUGGUGAGGACGGCGCGACGCGAGGUCAUGGUGGCAUGUGUCGGAGCAGUGGUAGGUGGCGUGUGCAGGUAAAUAGCAACAUCACUACCUCUUUUAUUAUGUGCAUAUUACAUUUUGAAUAUUUCAAGUAACCAGAUGGACGUGAACAUAUACACAUAAUCCACUUUCCGGUUGAAGCUUAUUUUCUUGCAUGAGUGGUGAAGAAAAUGAGUGACAAGGAUGAUGAGAAUAAAGGGAGUGCAAUGUGGUUAUUGAAGAAGGGCAAGGAAGAGGAAGACACAUGUUAGUCGGGUGAAGUCAGCAGCGAUCGCUAUCAGUGAUGUUAUUGGCCAAAUAGGUUGUCUAAACAUUUUGCUAGGUCUCCCUCAGGGAUGAUGGUGUAACCUUGUUUCAAGUAGAUAAACAGAAGUGGGCUAAAAGAGUGUCAUAUUACAACAGAUCAGUUGGUGUGAAACUAGAUGUUGGACUAAUACGUAAUGUAAUGGGCAUGAAUGCAUUCUUUUGA